AGAGAUAAAGAAGAAGGAUCCGAAGGAAGCUUGGCCGAAGUACUACCAAGCCAAUUUCUAUGCUUAUGCUGAUGCACACAAAGAGAAACCUAAAGCAGAUGUGCUUCGUAGUUUUAAGGAGCAAUUCAAGCUUCUUACCGAUGAAGAGAUUGAGAAUUGGGCUGCAUACGAAGUCGAGG